GACGAACGCUGGCGGCGUGCUUGACACAUGCAAGUCGAACGGAAAGGCCCUGCUUUUGUGGGGUGCUCGAGUGGCGAACGGGUGAGUAACACGUGAGUAACCUGCCCUUGACUUUGGGAUAACUUCAGGAAACUGGGGCUAAUACCGGAUUGGAGCUCCUGCUGCAUGGUGGGGGUUGGAAAGUUUCGGCGGUUGGGGAUGGACUCGCGGCUUAUCAGCUUGUUGGUGGGGUAGUGGCUUACCAAGGCUUUGACGGGUAGCCGGCCUGAGAGGGUGACCGGCCACAUUGGGACUGAGAUACGGCCCAGACUCCUACGGGAGGCAGCAGUGGGGAAUAUUGCACAAUGGGCGGAAGCCUGAUGCAGCAACGCCGCGUGCGGGAUGACGGCCUUCGGGUUGUAAACCGCUUUCGCCUGUGACGAAGCGUGAGUGACGGUAAUGGGUAAAGAAGCACCGGCUAACUACGUG
rnacentral:rRNA from 1 species